rnacentral:rRNA from 1 species
GGCGGCGUGCUUAACACAUGCAAGUCGAACGGAAAGGCCUGCAGCUUGCUGCGGGUACUCGAGUGGCGAACGGGUGAGUAACACGUGGGUGAUCUGCCUUGCACUUCGGGAUAAGCUUGGGAAACUGGGUCUAAUACCGGAUAGGACAGCUGUUUAGUGUCAGUUGUGGAAAGUUUUUUCGGUGCAAGAUGAGCUCGCGGCCUAUCAGCUUGUUGGUGGGGUAAUGGCCUACCAAGGCGUCGACGGGUAGCCGGCCUGAGAGGGUGUACGGCCACAUUGGGACUGAGAUACGGCCCAGACUCCUACGGGAGGCAGCAGUGGGGAAUAUUGCACAAUGGGCGGAAGCCUGAUGCAGCGACGCCGCGUGGGGGAUGAAGGCCUUCGGGUUGUAAACUCCUUUCGACAGGGACGAAGCGUAAGUGACGGUACCUGUAUAAGAAGCACCGGCUAACUACGUGCCAGCAGCCGCGGUAAUACGUAGGGUGCGAGCGUUGUCCGGAAUUACUGGGCGUAAAGAGCUCGUAGGUGGUUUGUCGCGUCGUCUGUGAAAUUCCGGGGCUUAACUCCGGGCGUGCAGGCGAUACGGGCUGACUUGAGUGCUGUAGGGGAGACUGGAAUUCCUGGUGUAGCGGUGAAAUGCGCAGAUAUCAGGAGGAACACCGAUGGCGAAGGCAGGUCUCUGGGCAGUAACUGACGCUGAGGAGCGAAAGCAUGGGUAGCGAACAGGAUUAGAUACCCU